UAAAAACUAUAAAACAUGGUUCGUCAGUGCCAAAUUUGUAAGAAAUUGGACUAUUUAAGUCCUGGAACAACAUUCCACAGAUUAUGCUGCCAAAGUUUCCUGAAUACAAUUCCGACCACUCUGUAUAUCAAGAUAUCCCCCAUUACGUACUAGUUUUUCUUAAUAAUUUUCUAUACAUUUUCCAACGCCAAGAUGUACCAAGCGCAUACAAAUACAUCAAGCUUCAAACAAGCUUGCACGUUGACAGUAAUACCUACAGUAAUAUUGUAUUAUAUUAAUGUAAUAUUUUUGAACCAAUGUUCAAUAUUACUGUAGUAAUACUGUUUAUACUCAUGCCUUUUAUAUUUGUUUGAAUUUGGUGCAUAUUUCCAUUGAAUAAAGUAUAGUCACCAUUACCAUUAUUAUACUUACUCUAUAAUAAAGACAGUAACGAGUUAAA